ensembl:lncRNA
GUAAGUGCUCCAGAGGCAGGGGCGCUGGGCACCCUGAUGGAGGGGAGGCUCCAGCCUGCAGUGCUGGGGGCAGGGCUGUCAGCUGCGAGUGGGCUCACGGAGGGGUUCGUGCGCCCGGAACACGUGGGUGCUCAUCAGGCUUGCCCAGUCGGAACUGUCUGUGGGAGCACGUCGGGGGUGUGGGGGUGGGGGAAAGGAAAGGUCAGGGCCCUGGAGGUCUCACGGGGGUGGGGUGGGGCCAGAGUUAUCUCUGGGUCUCCCUGCAUUGGAGUGAGCGCCACGGGGCCCUGAGCAGGGAUGGGCGCACCUUGAUUUCAGGUGACUGGAGAACGUGUCUCACCCAGAAGGGACCCGGAGGGGGGAACCUGGCCAGGGAGUGGAUGUGGAGGGAACCAGGGGUGGCAGGCGGCCCACGGGAGGGGACAGCUCAGACUCAGGACCUGCACAGUAGACCCAGGGAGGGGCCCAGCCAAGCUGCAGGCUGCAGAGGGCUUCUGUCUUAACUCGUCAACGCUCUAGACUAAUGUGGAUGUUGAAUUUUACCAACGGAAACAGAGAACACAUGGUUACCAAAGGGGAGAGGGAGGGGUAAAUCAGGAGGCUGUGACUCACUCACACCCCUGUGUGUAAAAUAGGCGAGCAGCGGGGUCCUGGUGUGCAUUACGGGGAGCUGCGUUCAGGUCCUGCUGUAACCGUGAUGGGAAUGAGUGUGAAGACAUAGGUGUGUGUGUGGCUGAGUCACUUCACAGCAGAGACUAAGUCAACUCCAGUUAAAAAGGCCCUUCCACUUCUGUCCCCUUAAAACACGUCGGUGUUAGGAAAACUACACCAAUGUGUCUGCAGUCGACUCUAGUCCUGGAGUAGCUGCGCCCUCCUGUGCCGCAGUUUAUGGUCUCUGCUGCUCUGUUAAUGUUUUUGCACUGAGUUAGUGAAAAGAGUGGGGAAGGCAAUGGGACCCCACUCCAGUACUCUUGCCUGGAAAAUCCCAUGGACGGAGGAGCCUGGUGGGCUGUAGUCCAUGGGGUUGCGAAGAGUCGGACACAACUGAGCGUCUUCACUUUCACUUUUCACUUUCAUGCAUUGGGGAAGGAAAUGGCAACCCACUCCAGUGUUCUUGCCUGGAGAAUCCCAGACUCAGGGGAGCCUGGUGGGCUGCUGUCGGUGGGGUCGCACAGAGUCGGACACGACAGCGACUCAGCAGCAGCAGUGAAAAGAGACUGGAUGCAGUCAGCGUGGGGGGAGGGCGCACGGCUGGGUCUUUUCAGCUCUGGUCACACUUGCCACACACGUGUGUGCCUGAGGGGGCCUCCCGCUGCCGUCACACAGUCAGGUUUAGCAUGAUUCCCUUCAGUGACCAAGCUCAGAAAGUGUUUACCAUCCCUGAAGUGCUGAAACGUUAAAACUGUAAAAAAUAACGAUGUGCAUCAGGCAACUCUUGGCGCCUGAGAACUCUCGGCCAUCUGACCGCUGGUCCCUGCACCUUGUCAUCAGAUCCCCUGUCAUGGUGGCCAGGGCCUGUGUUCGCGUGCCUCUCGUUGUGUGCACCGGUAUGUGUAUGAAACGGUAGAUGUGGGGCUUGGCCCGUCCACAGCAUCAGGCGUCCACGGGCGGCUGUGGGAGUCCAGGCAGGAACGCGUCGUCUCCCGGCUGGGAGCGACCAGGAGAUGGUGCUCUGCACGCAGGUGUCCCCUCCCGGAGCCGGGGGCCUGGGGCCAGGAGGCCAUGCCCCCCAGAGCCCGCCCUCCAGGGCCUCGGCCCGGCUUCUGGUGGUGCCGCAGUCCUGGGCGUGGAGACCAGACACGCGUCUGCCCAUGACCUUCUCAUGAGCACAGCACUCACUGGCUGUGGGGUGACCUCCUGUUGACUCGUUUCACUGCAGAGGCCCCAAGGCGGCUUCUUUACCAACUGAGCUGUGAGGGAGGCACAGUACCACAAUUCUGAGAACUGGUCUCAAGUUUGGAACAAACUGACGCUGGAACUGAAGACUACCUGCCUAAAACAAGGUGAUGCUGGUCAGACCACUGAUGACAGCUUUCGAGAUGCCUGUGCUGUUUCUGCACGGAGCCCCCUCCCGAGGUCUAUAAAGGCAUUUGAGCACUGAUUGUCUUCCCUGUGGCUCAGAAGGUGAAGAAUCCACCUACGAUGCAGGACACCCAGGUUCAAUCCCUGGGUCAGGAAGAUCCCCUGGAGAAGGGCAUGGCAACCCACUCCAGUAUUCUUGCCUGAGGAAUCCCAUGGAUGGAGGAACCUGGAGGGCUACAGUCUAUGGGGUCGCAAAGAGUGGGACACGCCUGAGUGACACACACUCGUCAGUGGGGAGAUGGCCUUUGAGCAGGAAUCUGGCCUCCUCCCCCGUCCCCGGUCUCUGAAGUGAAGCAGAUGUUCCUUUCCCACCAACCUGGCCCCUCGAGCACUGGCUGUGGCGCGUGAGCAGCCAGCCCCAGCUUUUGGUAACACCAGCAGGACGUUUCCCCCAGUGGCUCUCUAUCCCCGGCUCUCGGGGCCACUGCGCUCCUCAGGGAGGCUGUGCCCUGUGUGACAGCGAGGUGCCGCCCGCACCGGGCCCGGGUCAUCGGGCGGACGGGGCCCCAGGAUGGCAGUUCUGACGGCCGGGCGUGCAGAGGACUGGCGGAAGCCGGGGAGCAGCCUGACCCGGACGGCAGGGCCACAGCCAGGACCAGCCUUGCCACCGCGUCCGAGACGGCUCACAGGCCUGGCGCCCCCACACGCGACGGGGAGGCGGGCGGGGCCCCAACAGUCCCGUCCUUCCCCAGGAGGCGGCUGCCGGGUGCUGGCCCUGGGCCUGGGCAUUUCCACGGUGCCAUCCGAGCUGGUGCCCAAAACUGCACCAGAGACAGUUUUGAAGCCCCUGCCUUCCUGAUGCUAGACGUUUGUUCUGCUUUCAACUUGCCUGAUUCACGUGUUUGAGGUGAGGGUUCCCCCCCUUUUUUUUUUUUUUUAAUCUACUUUAUUACGUAAUGAGUAAUAUUUUUGAAGAUAUACAUAAUUUGAUUUAAUUUUUUUAACUUUUCAUCUUGUUUAAAAAUAAAACAGUAUAGCUGAUUAAUGAUGCUGUGAUGGUUUCAGGUGGGCAGGGAAGGGACUUGGCGUAUAUGCGCCUGUAUCCGUUCCCCCCACACCCCCUCCCAGCCAGGCUGCUUCCAGCAGCGAGCACUUCCCUGUGCUCUGCGGUAGGGGCUUGUCGGUCACCUGUGUUACGUACAGCGGAGUGUGCACGUCCAUCCCAGACUCCCUAACUUUCCCUUCCCCAGGUGGGUUUCUGUAGGCAGCAGAGUUAACCCACUCUGCCAACGUCUUGUCUCCUCGCGGACAUGUUUAAUUAAACCUUUGACACGGACUGGUUCCUGAUCUGGG